rnacentral:tRNA from 1 species
UAUCAAGAUGGCAGAGUAGUGCAGUAGAGUUAAGUUCUAUAAAUGGAUUUUGAUAUCCUCUUGGUUG